CGCGCAGGCGGAUUAGCAAGUCAGAGGUGAGAUCCUACAGCUUAACUGUAGAACUGCCUUUGAAACUGUUAAUCUUGAGUACGGAAGAGAGAAGCGGAAUUCCAGGUGUAGUGGUGAAAUACGUAGAUAUCUGGAAGAACACCAGUUGCGAAGGCGGCUUCUUGGUCCGUUACUGACGCUGAGGCGCGAAAGCGUGGGGAGCAAACA
rnacentral:rRNA from 1 species